GACCCUGAUGACUCAGCCUAUGUAAGCUUCAACGUCUUCAUCUGAAAAAUGGGAUGAUAGUAUUUACCUUAUUGGCUGUUGUGUGGAUUAAAUGAGGCCAUGCCCAUGGAUGAACAAUGUUGGAUGCCCAGUAAUCAGCCAGUAAUUGGAAGCUUUAUUCACAAUAACAAUGGUGGUAGCAACAGAAGCAGCCAAAGCACCUGGAUGAUCACAGAAGCAUCUGGAUGAUCACAAAAGCAAGGGGGUCCCUCGUUUUCAUCUUGCACAAGGCUUUGCAGUUUGUGCAGCCGCCUCUGCAGGGAGCGCUGGGGUCAGAAUCCUGCUCGGCACCGCGGGAACCUCGGGUAACUCUCUUUACCGGUUGGAGUCGCAGUUUCUUCCCAUCUGGACAACGGGGGCAAUACUUCACAGUUGUUGAGGAUUAAGGCCCAUUCUAUCCAUGCCACUUGAUUCCACAAGCUGGAAGAAUUGCUGCUCGCUCCAUUGUUUCCCUCGAUCCCUUUUCUGUGGGUCAGGAAUUUGGGAACAGCUCGGCUGGAGGCUCCUGCUCAGGGUCUCUCCUGCAGUUGCCGUCCAAGUGUCAGCUGGAGCUGUACGUGAAGGCUUGACUGGGACUGGAGGAUCCUCAUCCGAAGUGGCUCACUCUUAUGACGUUCACGGGACUACAUGGCCUUGGCCCUCCGCCAGUGAUGUCUUCACUCCAAAGCAGCCUGACUCUUCAACUCAAGUGACCUUAUGUGGCCCAGGUUAAGAGCAUAAACUCGGGAUCCAUUCUGCCUAGAUUUUAAUCCCGGCUCUCUACUUCCCAGCUGUGUGACCCUGGAACUCAGAGGACGUCCUGCCUCACCCAGUCUUUUGCAAAGGAGUCCCAGCAAAGGAGAGGUGCCUGACUAGGGAAUCCUACAUACCUACCAACGUCCAAAGGGCCAAAACUGGUAAGAACUGUUGAGAACCUAUGAUACAACUACAGUGAGUUAAAUGGUGUCCCCCCAAAACUCAUGUCCACCGUGAACCUCAGAAUGUUACCUUAUUUGGAAAUAAAGUCUUUGCAAUGUAAUUGGUUAAAGAUCAAGAUGAGAUCAUACUGGAUUAGGAUGGGCCCUAAAUCCAACGACUGGUGUCCUUAGAAGAAGGAAAGAGGAUACACAGAGGGAAGAAGGCCAUGUGAAGACAGAUGCAGAGAUUGGAGUGAUGCCACCAUAAGCCAAGGAACAACCGGAAUCACCAGGAACUGAAAGAGCAAGGAAGGAUCCCCUGUAGAAACUUCAGAGAGAGCACAGCCCUGCUGACAACUUGACUUGGGACUUCCGGCCUCUAGAACUGUGGGAGAGUAAAUUCCUGUUGUUUUAAGCCACCCCAGUUUGUAGUACUUUGUUGCAGCAGCCUGAGGAAACUAAUCCACCAAUCAUCUCAGUUUACAGAGGAAGAAACCAAGUCCUGAAGAGAAACCAAGGUCAUCACUGUUCACCCGCAGAAAGGUAGCAGCUAAACGGGCUAGAACCCAGCCCUCAACCCCCAUCCAGGGCUCUCCCCUUAGGGAAUGCCCCAAGUCUUUGGCAUAUGAUCUCACACCUAGGUUUGGGCCAGAGGAAGGCCUCUUUUGACAGGGCCACGUAUCCCUGUGUGUGUAUGUCCUCCCCAGAGAGCACUCAGUGAGUGGAACCCACUUUUCCCGAUAAUGACUUACUCCUCAGUUCUGGGUGAGAGCUCUGACUGGUACAUCAUCUUGAGACUGCCAAGUUUGCUUGUAGCUGUCAUGAAAGAGGAAAUGCCAGCAAGCCCCCUCCGCCUGCUGAGAAGUUAAUCUCCAGAGACCUUGCUGACUGGACACA